rnacentral:rRNA from 1 species
GACGAACGCUGGCGGCGUGCCUAAUACAUGCAAGUCGAGCGCAGGAAGCAAAACAAUCCUUCGGGUGCGUUUUGUGGAAUGAGCGGCGGACGGGUGAGUAACACGUGGGCAACCUGCCUGUAAGACGGGGAUAACUUCGGGAAACCGGGGCUAAUACCGGGUAAUCUUUUGCAUCGCAUGAUGCAAGGGUAAAAGAUGGUUCUGCUAUCGCUUACAGAUGGGCCCGCGGUGUAUUAGCUAGUUGGUGAGGUAAUGGCUCACCAAGGCGACGAUACAUAGCCGACCUGAGAGGGUGAUCGGCCACACUGGGACUGAGACACGGCCCAG